rnacentral:hammerhead_ribozyme from 1 species
AGCCGAAACAAGGGACUGUUUCCCUUGUCCGUGCGGGAUGGCGACCUGCACGCUGAUGAUGGCAAGCCAAAU